UACGGAGGGUGCAAGCGUUAUCCGGAUUCACUGGGUUUAAAGGGUGCGUAGGUGGGUCUGUAAGUCAGCGGUGAAAUCCCCGAGCUUAACUUGGGAACUGCCAUUGAUACUAUAGAUCUUGAAUACUGUGGAGGUCAGCGGAAUAUGUCAUGUAGCGGUGAAAUGCUUAGAUAUGACAUAGAACACCAAUAGCGAAGGCAGCUCGCUGGGACGUUACUGACACUGAGGCGCGAAAGCGUGGGGAGCGAACAGG
rnacentral:rRNA from 1 species